rnacentral:rRNA from 1 species
UACGUAGGGAGCAAGCGUUGUCCGGAAUCAUUGGGCGUAAAGCGCGCGUAGGCGGCCCUGUAAGUCCGCUGUGAAAGUCAAAGGCUCAACCUUUGAAAGCCGGUGGAUACUGCAGGGCUAGAGUCCGGAAGAGGCGAGUGGAAUUCCUGGUGUAGCGGUGGAAUGCGCAGAUAUCAGGAGGAACACCAAUAGCGAAGGCAGCUCGCUGGGACGGUACUGACGCUAAGGGCGCGAAAGCGUGGGGAGCGAACAGG